AUUGAACGCUGGCGGCAUGCCUUACACAUGCAAGUCGAACGGCAGCACGGGGGCAACCCUGGUGGCGAGUGGCGAACGGGUGAGUAAUAUAUCGGAACGUACCCUGGAGUGGGGGAUAACGUAGCGAAGGUUACGCUAAUACCGCAUACGAUCUAAGGAUGAAAGUGGGGGAUCGCAAGACCUCAUGCUCCCGGAGCGGCCGAUAUCUGAUUAGCUAGUUGGUGGGGUAAAGGCCUACCAAGGCAUCGAUCAGUAGCUGGUCUGAGAGGACGACCAGCCACACUGGGACUGAGACACGGCCCAGACUCCUACGGGAGGCAGCAGUGGGGAAUUUUGGACAAUGGGGGGCAACCCUGAUCCAGCAAUGCCGCGUGAGUGAAGAAGGCCUCGGUUGUAAGACUCUUUGUUCUAGGGAAGAAACGGUUAGGGGCGUAAGUAU
rnacentral:rRNA from 1 species